rnacentral:rRNA from 1 species
AUUGAACGCUGGCGGCAUGCCUUACACAUGCAAGUCGAACGGUAACGCGGGGCAACCUGGCGACGAGUGGCGAACGGGUGAGUAAUGCAUCGGAACGUGCCCAUCAGUGGGGGAUAUCCCGGCGAAAGCCGGAUUAAUACCGCAUACGACCUGAGGGGGAAAGCGGGGGACAGUAAGGCCUCGCGCUGAUGGAGCGGCCGAUGUCGGAUUAGCUAGUUGGUGGGGUAAAGGCUUACCAAGGCAACGAGCCGUAGCUGGUCUGAGAGGACGACCAGCCACACUGGGACUGAGACACGGCCCAGACUCCGACGGGAGGCAGCAGUGGGGAAUUUUGGACAAUGGGCGCAAGCCUGAUCCAGCCAUGCCGCGUGCGGGAAGAAGGCCUUCGGGUUGUAAACCGCUUUUGUCAGGGAAGAAACGGUCUGAACUAAUACUUUGGGCUAAUGACGGUACCUGAAGAAUAAGCACCGGCUAACUACGUGCCAGCAGCCGCCGUAAAAC